GUGAUAUUGCAGCGCCUGUAUGCAAGGAUAUUCCAGUCAUUGAUCUAUCACGAUUGGAUGAUCUUGAUCACGUUGAAAUAAUUCAGCAAAUCAUGAACGCUAAUCACGACUUGGGAAUGUUUCAGGUGAUAAACCAUGGAAUAUCUGAAGAACUAAUGGAUGAAACAAUGAAUCUGUUCAAGGAUUUCUUCAACAUGCCUGCAGAAGACAAGUCUAUGCAUUAUUCUGAGGAUGGAACUAAGGGUUUUAGGCUCUACACAAGCGGUAUGAAUUACAUUAAGGAUGGGAAUUAACCUGUGGAAAGAUACAGUGAGACACAUUUGUCAUCCUUUAGAGGCUUACAUCCAAUCUUGGCCUGAAAAGCCAGCUAGAUAUCGGGAGCUGGUUGGGGUCUAUUCAGUGGAAGUGAGGAAGUUAAGCCUAAGGAUUUUGGAUCUGAUUUGUGAAGGACUCUGGGUUGGAUUGGGGUAUUUUGGGGAUGAGCUUAGCAAGCUUCAUGAACUGGCGGCCCAUCAUUACUCACCAUGUCCUGACCCACGUUUGGUUUUGGGAUUUGGUGGUCACACCGAUACAACCCUCAUAACCUUACUUCAGCAGGAUAUGCAUGGGCUUCAGAUUUUCAAGGACGGACAGUGACUCGGGGUUGAACCAAUUCCUCAUGCUUUUGUUAUCUACAUAUGUGAUCAACUUGAGGUUAUCAGCAACGGGAAGCUAAAAAGCGCUCGACACCGAGUGGUGACGAAUACCAACGUUGCUCGGACAUCCUUUGCCACUUUUAUUAGUCCACCGUCUCUAGAAUCCAUCAUUGAACCUGAAAGAGCGAUUGUUAGUGCAUCUGAACCCCAGCUGUUCAAAUCCUUUCGAUUUAAGGAGUAUCGCAAUACUUACAUUGCCAAUCUUCGUGAGCCUAAAGGUACUAGUUCGGCACUAGAGGCUUAUGAGCUCUAGUGUAAAAUAAAAGGUUUGGCUGUAACAAAUUGUAUGGCUACAUAAUCAAAAAUAGAACAUCACUAUGGUGGAAGGAUUCAUCCGAUGUCUUGUCGAGAGUGAUUCAGUAGUAGUGAGAUGUUGUGACCCCCAACAACUUUCAUUCCCGUUGAAGCAUCCGCUCGGUCUGGAGUUGUGGUCCGACCAAAGCUAUCGACUUCCCCUGCGGUUAUCGCAAUGAGGUUUGAUAGGACUUCUGAACAUAUCGCACUUGGAUUUCAUAUAGUUUUUGUAAAUGUAAUUUGUGCUUGAACUUUUUCCCGUGUGAUCCAAUCCUGGUUCAAUGAAAUUUUCAGCACA